AUGUUGGCACCCGGGCCGAUUUCUUCACUGACUGCCCGUCUUCUGAUAACGACUUCCACCUCGGACAAAAUAGACAAAAUCAGUAAACUUUAAAAGCAUGUCUAAGGAGGAAGUGGCCCGUGGCGGUUGGUCAAACCAGGUGGAGUUCUUCCUGUCCUGUGUGGGCUACGCCGUGGGGCUGGGAAAUGUGUGGAGAUUCCCAUACCUCUGCUACAGAAAUGGCGGCGGGGCUUUUCUUAUUCCUUACAUCCUUUCCCUCGCUUUAGUCGGUCUUCCAGCUUUUUUCAUGGAAUUGGCAUUUGGGCAGUUUGCAUCACUUGGUCCAAUAACUAUAUGGAGAGUAUGUCCCUUAUUCAAAGGAAUCGGAUUUGCCUCCGUGAUUAUUUCGGCUUUGGUGUCCAUUAGCUACAAUGUGGUAAUUGCAUACGCUAUGUAUUACCUGAUAGUAUCCAUAGUCAAUAUGGAUACCAACGUCCCCUGGGCCACCUGUGGAAACCCCUGGAACACCAUAUACUGCCGCUCCGAGACACAAAGGGUAACCCCGGGGAUGAACGAGUCAGAGAAAAUAAAUGUCACCCUAGGUACCAUGAAUACUUCUUGUGUCGAUGCAAAACUCCAUAGCUUGGGCUGGAAAUUUGAGGACCUCACUUACAACUACACUUCUAACAAUUUAAGCGACUGCAGCUACAAAAACAUGAUCAAGACACCCAGCGACGAGUACUUCAGGUGCGAACAAUGAAAUAAAGCAUCUGGCUUUCUCAAUUUAAACGUUAAAGCAACAGCUUACUUUUUUAUGCAUGGUUUUCUUUUUUUCCAAUUUGCUACAGUGAUGGAAAAACCAGCCUGGUCAGUGCAAGAUGGAAGAUCUAGAUCACGUGAUACGUACAGAGGGCUUUGAAAUAACCGUUUUUUUGUGUUUGUAGUAAUUUUGUGCUGGGGUUGGACAAGGCUGAUGGUAUUGGUGGGAUCGGAGAUUUAAGUCCUAAACUUGUAGCGGUCCUUCUGUUAGCAUGGCUCAUUGUUUUCUUCGCAUUGAAGAAAGGUGUAAAGUCUUCCGGCAAGGUUCGUCUGGUUUUCUGUAACACCUGUGCACGACCUAAAUAUGCUCACCUAUAGUUUUAUUUUGUUUUCUUUUUGAACGAUUGAAUUUAUUUAGGUUUUUUUUUCAAAUUUUCAAAGGAUCAUAACAAAGGUAACACUGCACGAUAUACAUAUAUGAAAUAUUUGUCUUUUCAUAUAACACCCAAUUUUGGCUUUUAGAGGUCACUAAUAAUUUUUUUUUUUCAGGAUGACUUAUAGGUUUCUUUUUAUUACAGACCCCAGUUGAUGUUUUAGUUCCUCGGUCUAAAUUACAAACAAGUUUUAUUUCUUGCGUGAUCUAUCCUAGACAUCAUAUGAAAUACCUUUUAUACGUGUCUUUAAUGAUCUGUUGUUGUGAAGGUAUUGGCCUUUAUGACGUCACUUCUGCUUACCUUUUCAGGUGAUCUAUUUCACGGCAACGUUUCCCUAUUUGGUCCUGAUCAUUCUACUUGUGCGAGGAGUUACCCUGGACGGUUACGAGAAGGGCUUAAAAUUUUACCUUGUCCCAAAGUUUGACAAACUUGCAGAUCCUAGGGUGUGGACGGAUGCGGCCUCUCAGAUAUUCUACUCCCUGGGGCCAGCCUUUGGCAGCCUGAUCACGAUGUCCAGCUACAACCCCUUCAACAACAACUGUUACAGAGACUCCAUUUUGGUUGCGGUCAUUAACUGCGGGACCAGCGUGUUUGCCGGACUUGCGAUUUUCUCCGUCCUUGGGUUCAUGUCCGAGGUCACAAACAGACCAGUGCAAGAAGUAGCGGCUGAUGGCCCUGGACUAGUGUUUGUAGCUUACCCAGAAGCAAUUGCCAGAAUGCCCUACCCACCAAUCUGGGCCUUUCUCUUCUUCUUCAUGCUAAUUCUUUUAGGACUAUCCAGCAUGUUCGCGAUGGUGGAAGCCAUCAUUUCGGCGCUGGCAGACGAGUAUCCCGGCGUUCUCCGCAGACACAAGAGCAUCCUGACAUUUGUCGUCUGCCUCCUUCUGUUCUUUGCAGGACUGGCUUUAGUGACCAAUGGUGGGAUCUACGUUCUGACACUGAUGGACGCCUAUUCGGGGAGCUACUCUCUGCUGUUUGUCUGUUUCUGUGAGGUGACAGGCAUAGCCUGGUUUUACGGCUGGCGAAGAUUUUCAGAGGACAUUGAGAUAAUGUUGGGCUUUAAGCCUAACAUCUAUUGGAUCGCAACAUGGACCGUCAUAGCCCCAAUAUUCAUUGUCGGUGUUCUGAUAGCCAGUGCUAUACGUUUCUCCCCAUCACAUUAUGAGGACUAUCAGUUUGAGCAGUGGGCACAGAACUGUGGCUGGGGCUUGGUGGCUCUGCCCCUCGUCUUCCUUUUUGGGACUGCAAUCAUUCAAAUAAUCAGAUAUGGGGGUUUCAAGAAUGCAACAACACCUCAAGAUAACUGGGGACCGGCACUUGAUGAGAAUAAAAAGGGGAGAUAUGCGAUAGGACAAGAUAAUAAAGGAUUUGAAGCAGAUGAGAAGGAAGCAAAUCUUGAAAAUGGGAUAGAAAUGAAGAAGAAAAACGGUGUUACCAAUGGUGACUCCAUCACUGUGCAAUUUUAGACGGCGUACAUUUCAGUGCUAAAUAAUGAUACUUUGUAUUGAAACACUUUCAAAUAAAAAAAAUCAGAGAAAAUUCAUCAUAUGAACAGACAGCAAUACUGAACUUGUAACUGUGAUAUAUUUUAAAAUUAACGUAUUUCUUGUUUGAAGUCGCAUUAAUGUUUUUUGUAACAGAUUAAAAAGAAUAUUCUUG
rnacentral:misc_RNA from 1 species